rnacentral:rRNA from 1 species
GACGAACGCUGGCGGCGUGCCUAAUACAUGCAAGUCGAGCGGAUUUAAUUAGAGCUUGCUUUAAUUAAAUUAGCGGCGGACGGGUGAGUAACACGUGGGCAACCUGCCCUGCAGAUUGGGAUAACUCCGGGAAACCGGGGCUAAUACCGAAUAACAUUGGAAACCUCAUGGUUUCCUUUUGAAAGGCGGCUUUGGCUGCCACUGCAGGAUGGGCCCGCGGCGCAUUAGCUAGUUGGUGGGGUAACGGCCCACCAAGGCAACGAUGCGUAGCCGACCUGAGAGGGUGAUCGGCCACACUGGGACUGAGACACGGCCCAGACUCCUACGGGAGGCAGCAGUAGGGAAUCUUCCGCAAUGGACGAAAGUCUGACGGAGCAACGCCGCGUGAGUGAAGAAGGUUUUCGGAUCGUAAAACUCUGUUGUCAGGGAAGAACAAGUACGGGAGUAACUGCCCGUACCUUGACGGUACCUGGCCAGAAAGCCACGGCUAACUACGCG